CUAACUUGUAAUAAUAUUCGUCUUUCAGAAAACAAGACCGAAAAAACUAUGGUACUCUAUCUUCACUCUCUGAUAUCUAACCGAUAGCUCUGGUGCUAGAGUCUGAAUUAGCCGUGUGAAAAUAUUCUCUUUUCAGCCCACCUUGUUUGGAUAUUUGAUUCAGAAACAACUAAUGAAGUCCAUUUGCCAUAUGGGUUCUCCUGAGAUCAUCCUCUUCAAAAAUGCCUUUUACUCAAAGCCCCUCUCAGGCUCUGCUUCCAGGGAGCCUGACCAGAGACAGCCACAACAUUAAAUUGGCUCUCGGUAAGUAUGCUGAUUUGCGGAAAGAAUCCUUCCCACUGAAGCAAUAUCACCUUGCCUCGUCUGUAUGACCUUGG
rnacentral:lncRNA from 1 species